rnacentral:lncRNA from 1 species
UGUGUGUAGCCCUGACUGUCCUGGAACUCACAGACAUCUGCCUGCCUCUGCCUUGGUAUGCUACCAUGCCUGACUCCCUUUUAUAGUUUUUACCUGAGUUCUGGAAAUUGAUGUUAAGCUAGCAUGGCUAAUACUUUUUCCCACUAAGCCAUCUCCCUUGCCCCCACUCUGUGUCUUGAGGCAUGAUCUAUCAUGGGGACCUGGGGCUCACCAGGCUGGCUAGGCUGGCUUGGCAGUAAGCUGAAGGCUGCUUGUGACAUCUUCCCAGUGCUGGGAUUACGGGCACAGUUCACAGUGCCUGUCCUUUUUUAUGUGGGUUCUGAAGGUGGAACUCGAAUAAUCAGGCCUGGUAACCAGAAAACAACUUGCAGGCAUCAUUCUCUUUCUACUGUGUGGCUCUGGGGUGGAACUUAGGCUGGGGCUUAGGCAGCCUGUGCCUUCACCCUUGGGUAUCUCCCUGGUCCUUUCACACCCGUUUAAGCGUACUCAUUGAGUGUGUCUUAAAUGUCAAUGUUGUGGAAGUAAUAUAUUCCCAAACGUAUGUUUCCUCCCCUCCAUGCCAUUUGUGACACGGGGCACAUCCUUGGCCCCAGAAGAGGAAGGGCUUAGGUUGAGCUCCCUUGGCCUGUCUUUUAUCAGUUUAAUUAGUUGUACUGUUAGCUCUGGUUAGUGCAGAAAGGGAGCCAAAAGCUCACAGGCUACUACUCAGUUUUACAAGACCCCAUUCAGGGAAAAGAAAGGCUGGUAUUGGGCUGGAGAGAUGGCUCAGCAGUUAAGAGUACUGACUGCUCUUCCAAAGGUCCUGAGUUCAAAUCCCAGCAACCACAUGGUUGCUCACAGUCAUCUUUAAUGAGAUCUGAUGCCCUCUUCUGGUGCAUCUGAAGACAACUACAGUGUACUUAGAUAUAUUAAUAAAU